rnacentral:rRNA from 1 species
ACUAAGGCUUGCCUCAGUAACGGCGAGUGAAGCGGCAAAAGCUCAAAUUUGAAAUCUAGCACCUUCGGUGUUCGAGUUGUAAUUUGAAGAUGGUAACCUUGGGUUUGGCUCUUGUCUAUGUUCCUUGGAACAGGACGUCAUAGAGGGUGAGAAUCCCGUCUGAUGAGAUGCCCAUUCCUAUGUAAGGUGCUAUCGAAGAGUCGAGUUGUUUGGGAAUGCAGCUCUAAGUGGGUGGUAAAUUCCAUCUAAAGCUAAAUAUUGGCGAGAGACCGAUAGCGAACAAGUACAGUGAUGGAAAGAUGAAAAGAACUUUGAAAAGAGAGUGAAAAAGUACGUGAAAUUGUUGAAAGGGAAGGGCAUUAGAUCAGACUUGGUGUUUUACGAUUAUCUUCUCUUCUUGAGUUGUGCACUCGUAUUUCACUGGGCCAGCAUCGAUUCGGAUGGCAAGAUAAUGGCAGUUGAAUGUGGCUUCACUUCGGUGGAGUGUUAUAGCUUCUGCUGAUAUUGCCUGUCUGGAUCGAGGGCUGCGUCUUUUGACUAGGAUGCUGGCGUAAUGAUCUAAUGCCGCCCGUCUGAA